CCUUUGCUGCUAACAAACUGUUUCAGGGACGUGAUUUAACUAACCACUGUUGAAGUGCUCACGGCAACUGGUG
rnacentral:lncRNA from 1 species